rnacentral:misc_RNA from 1 species
UCUCAGUAAGCUCAAGAUCCGAGUAAAACUGCACUUCCGCUAAAAGUGCAUUAUCAAUCUGCUGAUCUUGUUGAGCUUUAAUUGCAGCCUUCACCUGAUCCCUGUCCACAUUUGUCCCUCGAAGACAGCUGAAACCAAGUCCUGCACCAAUUGUCAGUUGCCGUGGGUCAACGAGAGAGUUAUAAUGAUUACCAUGAUGAUAACUCAGCCUUAUGGGUGGUGUGUCCGUGUUAUAGCCCCCAUGAAAUAUGUUGAUAGGUUCUGUGC